CCGUAGCCGGUUUAAUAAGUCUCUGGUGAAAUCCUGCAGCUUAACUGUGGGAAUUGCUGGAGAUACUAUAGACUUGAGACCGGGAGAGGUUAGAGGUACUCCCAGGGUAGAGGUGAAAUUCUGUAAUCCUGGGAGGACCGCCUGUUGCGAAGGCGUCUAACUGGAACGGUUCUGACGGUGAGGGACGAAAGUUAGGGGCGCGAACCGGAUUAGAUACCCGGGUAGUCCUAAACUGUAAACGAUGCGGACUUGGUGUUGGGUGGCUUUGAGCUGCUUCAGUGCCGAAGGGAAGCUGUUAAGUCCGCCGCCUGGGAAGUACGGUCGCAAGACUGAAACUUAAGGAAUUGGCGGGGGAGCACCACAACGCGUGGAGCCUGCCGGUUUAAUUGGAUUCAACGCCGGACAUCUCACCAGAGGCGACAGCUGUAUGAUAGCCAGGUUGAUGACUUUGCUUGACUAGCUGAGAAGAGGUGCAUGG
rnacentral:rRNA from 1 species